rnacentral:rRNA from 1 species
AUUGAACGCUGGCGGCAGGCCUAACACAUGCAAGUCGAGCGAGCGGCGGACGGGUGCGUAAUGUCUGGGAAACUGCCUGAUGGAGGGGGAUAACUACUGUAAACGGUAGCUAAUACCGCAUACCCUCAGAUCUGUCCACAUGGGAUUAGCUAGUAGGUGGGGUAACGGCUCACCUAGGCGACGUUCCCUAGCUGGUCUGAGAGGAUGACCAGCCACACUGGAACUGAGACACGGUCCAGACUCCUACGGGAGGCAGCAGUGGGGAAUAUUGCACAAUGGGCGCAAGCCUGAUGCAGCCAUGCCGCGUGUGUGAAGAAGGCCUUCGGGUUGUAAAGCACUUUCAGCGGGGAGGCGUUACCCGCAGAAGAAGCACCGGCUAACUCCGUGCCAGCCGCCGCGGUAAUUC